AGUUGACCUCGAAUCAGGUAGGAAUACCCGCUGAACUUAAGCAUAUCAAUAAGCGGAGGAAAAGAAACCAACAGGGAUUGCCCCAGUAACGGCGAGUGAAGCGGCAACAGCUCAAAUUUGAAAUCUGGCCCCUCGGGGCCCGAGUUGUAAUUUGCAGAGGAUACUUUUGGCGAGGCGCCUUCCGAGUUCCCUGGAACGGGACGCCAUAGAGGGUGAGAGCCCCGUCUGGUUGGAUGCCGAGCCUCUGUAAAGUUCCUUCGACGAGUCGAGUAGUUUGGGAAUGCUGCUCUAAAUGGGAGGUAUAUGUCUUCUAAAGCUAAAUAUUGGCCAGAGACCGAUAGCGCGCAAGUAGAGUGAUCGAAAGAUGAAAAGCACUUUGGAAAGAGGGUUAAAAAGCACGUGAAAUUGUUGAAAGGGAAGCGCUUGUGACCAGACGUGGGCCUGUCGGAUCAUCCAGCGUUCUCGCUGGUGCACUCUGGCGGGCUCAGGCCAGCAUCAGCUCGUCCCGGGGGACAAAGGCAGCGGGAAUGUGGCUCCUUCGGGAGUGUUAUAGCCCGCUGUGUAAUGCCCUGGGGCGGGCUGAGGUUCGCGCAUCUGCAUGGAUGCUGGCAUAAUGGUUAUCAGCGACCCGUCUUGAAACACGGACCAA
rnacentral:rRNA from 1 species